AUGAGUGCUGCGAAUGUUCUGUGUUCCCCUUUUUUUUGGCUGUCUGGACUGUGGAUUGAGGCAUGCAGGAGUAAACAAACCUACCUCUUUGGUUGCUCAUUCCUUGCAGCAUGUGUGUGGAGGUGUGGACAGCUCAUCCACUGGCCUGACUGCCUGAGCCAGCACAAAGAAUGGUGGGCUGAUGAGGACAAGAUGGAAGACUUAGAUGGAAAGGAAUAAAAAACAUAAUUUGCCGAAGCUCUCAAUUAAUCAUAAUCAAGUUUGUGCAUGUUAUACUCUACAAGGGUAACAACAAUGAAACACAAGGAGAAAAGGAUGCUUUCCUCAGGCAGUUCUGG
rnacentral:lncRNA from 1 species